GGAAGAAUUGGCCCGCACUGCAUGAUGGGACAUGCUCACCUUUUUAUUUUUUCCUGUCAUCCAAAGCAGCUCAAUGAUCCAAAUACAGGAGCAUGGGCAUGUGUGCCGUUAGCACAGUUACACCACAGACAAAUCAUGUGAACCAGGGAAAUAAUAUAAACAUUAUUAGAAAAAUAUAUCUUAAUACAAAACAAACAAUCAGGUGUUUGCAUGGCAGGCCUGGGACUCUCAGGGAGCCUUCUUUCCAGCACCAUGGACCUUUCUCUGCUCAUUGUUGAGUGUUCCUGAGUAUAUUGUUUAUGUGUAUCUUGUCAGACUCGUCAAGAUCUGACUUGCAUCUGAAACGUUGUUGGUUUAGGAUACACUGGACUAGGAGGUCACCAGGAUCAAGUUUCUCCUGAUGGUGAACAAGCAGGGCCAGACCUGCCUGUCUAAGUACUAUGAGCGGGUGGACACGGGAAAGAGGCCUUCUCUGGAGGCUGAUGUUGUCAAUGGAUGCCUGUCACACUAAAAAGAAGAGGUCUCUAUUUCAAUUGUUAUUUUUACUCUAUUAGAAAUCUUAAUCAAUCAAAUGCAUUUUGUAGAGACCUUUUUACAUCAGAAGUUGUCACAAAAUGCUUUACAGAUACCCAACCUUAAACCCCCAAAAGCAAGCAAGCAAUGUGAAGGCAGAAGCACAGUGGCUUGGAAAAACUAGUUUUUUGUUGUUUACAUUCAGGGGUAGGACACAACAGUGAGAAGAUGUACAUAACUGGUGACAGGGGCAUGGACGAGACAAUACAGAACAGAAAGAAAUCCAGUUCAAUAACCUACAUCCAUCCCUUUAAUUUAUCAUUUUGGUUAUGCCAUUCUUCCUGCUGAGUUAGUUUGCCACUGCCAGUCCACAUGCAUUUUAUACAGGUGACACAAAACUCAUUCUGCUAUUCAAACAUCCAAGUAACUAUUAUGUUCUAUCUAGUGCUCUUUUAUGGACUUCAAACUAGUAUAUAGACAGUAUGCUGCUCUCUUCAUAGUUGUUGGUAUCAGUGACACUGAGGUGAGAGUUAAUAAUUUUACUGUCAUGUGUAAAAAAUAGUGUUAUUAGAUUAAGGUUGAGAUUUUAUUGAGAGUAUUCAUGAUUCAUGGUGUAGGAUGUCUUUCUUUCCCACAGAAUGAACUGUCAGACAACUUUGUUGAGGUUCUUGACAAGUACUUUGGUCAUGUGGUGAGUUCAGAGUCUCUUUUUGUUCACUACUUCAGCACAUUCUGGCUGUAUGCUAGAUUUACUGCAUGUCAACUAUCCAACCACCUGUGCAUAGCUCAGCAUCUCAAAGGUCAGCUUUUUCUGGGACAAAAACACAUUACUCUAAACGGAGCAUUCCCCAUUAGAGAAGCCAAUACUAUACAUUUAAGUUGUUUUCCAUUGGCAGAUGUAUCAUUGGUUUGCUUAAUGUAUCUCUAUUUUGCCUUUUGUAUUGAUGUGAAUAUUCUUGUAAUUACAGGGCUCAUCCGCAAAAGAGUCCUUUGUCUCAGCAUGACUCCCUGUUAAAUUAAAGGUUAAAUAACUACAAUAAAAAUAACCAUGUAACUGCUUUGUUUUUCUCUCCUAACAAGAGUGAAUUGGAUGUAUCCUUUACAAAUGAUAAGUUUUGUUAUUAACCAGUUUGAGGAAAUUCAUUGAAACAGAUGCUGGGGUUGUCUGCGUGUCCACCCCUCACAUUAGGGGCUAGUCACGUGGCUAGCCGACUGUGCCAUUCCAGGUCUGGCAUUUAAUGCGGCACUGCACAGACUGGUGUCUGUGCAGACUGAAAUUCCAUGACUGAAACUUAAGUUAAUUCAUCCUUUUACAGAAAGACAAUCAUUUUGUACAUGUAUUAAACUGAGUUUGACAUUU